rnacentral:rRNA from 1 species
GGGCCCGCACAAGCGGUGGAGUAUGUGGUUUAAUUCGAUGCAACGCGAAGAACCUUACCAGGGCUUGACAUCCUGCGAAUCUCUGGGAAACCGGAGAGUGCCUUCGGGAACGCAGUGACAGGUGGUGCAUGGCUGUCGUCAGCUCGUGUCGUGAGAUGUUGGGUUAAGUCCCGCAACGAGCGCAACCCACGUCUUUAGUUGCCAGCAUUUAGUUGGGCACUCUAGAGAGACCGCCGGUGAUAAACCGGAGGAAGGCGGGGAUGACGUCAAGUCCUCAUGGCCCUUACACGCGGGGCUACACACGUGCUACAAUGGCAGUGACAAUGGGAUAAUCCCAAAAAGUUGUCUCAGUUCAGAUUGUCCUCUGCAACUCGAGGGCAUGAAGUUGGAAUCGCUAGUAAUCG